AACGACUCUCGGCAACGGAUAUCUCGGCUCUCGCAUCGAUGAAGAACGUAGCGAAAUGCGAUACUUGGUGUGAAUUGCAGAAUCCCGUGAACCAUCGAGUCUUUGAACGCAAGUUGCGCCCGAGGCCUUUGGCCGAGGGCACGUCUGCCUGGGCGUCA
rnacentral:rRNA from 1 species